UACAGAGGGUGCGAGCGUUAAUCGGAAUUACUGGGCGUAAAGCGCGCGUAGGCGGCUUUGCAAGCCGGAUGUGAAAUCCCCGGGCUUAACCUGGGAACUGCAUUCGGGACUGCAUUGCUAGAGUAUGGGAGAGGGAAGUGGAAUUUCAGGUGUAGCGGUGAAAUGCGUAGAUAUCUGGAGGAACACCGGUGGCGAAGGCGGCAUCCUGGACCGACACUGACACUGAGGAGCGAAAGCCAGGGGAGCAAACGGG
rnacentral:rRNA from 1 species